UCUCAAUGCUCAUCAAUUCUUCCCCCGAUGCUGUUGUUAACAACAUUGGUCCGCUGAAUGCCCGUUUUAUCUCCCCUCUGCUUCGAGUGAUCAUCCCAUCCAACAUCUCACUGUCAUCAUUGAAUGAAGCUCUCCGGCUCAGCAUCUCUAUAUCCUGAGACAGAAAUCAAAAUCCAGACAGCCAUAUGAGGUACAUGAACUCACUCUUGACAACUUAGUUACUGCUUGUGAAUAAACAAACAUGAGGAUUAGAAAGCUUUC
rnacentral:lncRNA from 1 species